UCAAUACAAAUGGGCCGGCUCAGAGUUAAGAUCAUUUUUUAUUACUAAUGGGUCUGUCAUAGUAUAAAGGAAGACGGUUUGAAGUCGCCCAUUGUGUGACUUUAUGCAUAACACAAUCUGAAGCUUUAUGAUGACGUGAAAACUGUCUUUUUUUUGAAACAAGAUAACCUUUGUCUAUCUUAUUUGACACACCGAUAAUAAAAAAUUUUGUAACAAAGGUUUCAAAUCUCUACUAACAUGGUUGAAUCUUUUUGAUACUAAUUUUAUUCAAUUGUAUGUUACUUUUGAUUAGAGGUGGGAGUUCAUACUGAUGGGCAUGGUAUAUCAACUGAUUUGGCGACAAAGAAGAAUAUAUCAGUUUCAAGAAAGUUGGCAGGCAUUUGGGAACCAGUACCUAGAAGCAACCUUGUUUCCAAGUUAUUUGUGGCUUGUGAAGCAGAUUUACAGAUUCUAUUUGCAUUCAGUCUGCUGAAGCUGCAAAAGUAUCUCAUCUCUACAUAACAUUAACAAAGAUUAGUUAUGAUACAGGAAAAUUGGGCGAUCUGUUAGAAGCAUUGCUUGAUCUCUGUUGUCUUCAAAAUGUGAGUUUGUAAAUUUUUAUGCACCCGGUAAAACAGUUUUGGGCUUUAUGUUUUCUAGAUUGAAAAGUUGAAUUUAGUUAUCAAGGAGCUCGUUAAGGAAAAAGAUGAAAAAAAGAAAGGUUCAAUGGAAUUAUUGCGGGGUUGUUGGCUGAAAAAGAGAAAGAUAAGGUGGAUAAAGAUGCAAUGCUUGAUAGGAUGUCACAAAUUGAAGCUAUGUUAACAACUACAGUUCGAAGAUAGGGCUAUAAAUACUUGGUUUUGAAUGUUUAGAUGUUUAUCUUAUUAGGAUAAUUUUAGUUAUUUUAUGUUUUAGUUGGUAUUUUUUA